AUUCAUAGACCACUAGGGGAUAUAAGGUAAUUAGAAACGGCCCUAUAGCAUCCAGCCUGAAAAUGUAAUGCCAGCGGUAGGAGUGGUGGAGGGCUCUGGCUGCGGGCGGCUCCGGCAGAAAGUGCUCGCUGGAGCUGGGGACCGAGGAUGGUAAAUCAAGCUGGGACCUCAUGGCUCUCCAGGGACUUGGUGUUAUUCCCUGUAAUCGCCAAUCUGCCCUGCCCUUCACACUCAAGAGCCUGGCACUGUUUGGCAUCACAAGCCGUGACUGCCACCCUAGGAAAGCCAAGGUGGGAUGGACCCAAAGGACGUCACCCCCAGCUUCUCCUCUGGGAUUGACAGAAGACUAAAGGAUUUGUUAUUUUUACACUACAAUCCAAUAAAUUCAACAAUCUGGUCUGUC